UAGAGUGAUGGCUGCCAUCUUGUACU
rnacentral:piRNA from 1 species